UGGGGAACUGCUCUGAUUGAAGCAGAGUGAGGGCCUGGACCCUAAAAUUCAGCUGUUUCCCCUCUUCUCCCAGAACUCAAGAAGCACAGUUUGAAAACCACAGAAUGAGUGGAAUGCAAGCCUCUGCUUCUUCAGGUGAGGAUUCAGACCAGGAUACAGAACCAAUCAGAGGCCUGUCAGUCCAGAAGUCCUUCCAGAACACCAGCAGUCCUGCAUUCAUCCAUGUGCUGACCACAGUGCCCACUAGAGCUCCCCGUGCAGUCAGAGAUUCACUGAAGCCUCUGUCAGACGUCAUCAUGAAAUGUACCCUGAAAAGACUCUUGCACAGGACACCCUGCUGGCAACACGUGGGGUGAAGGGUGCAGAGGUUGCCUUCUCCAGGGAAUUAUAUUCUAAGAUGUACAUUUCCAUCUUGGCAAGCUCAGAGACAAACACCCAGGGUCAGAAAAUGAAGAAGUCAUUUAGAUAUUUACCAACUUCACAGUGGCUGCUGAAAGUGCCAGCCAAGUUUUUGAAACAAAAGAAGAGAUGGCCAUGCAGCUCACAGGAGAAGCAACUGCAACCCAAUUGAAGUAUUUCAACAGCUGGUU
rnacentral:lncRNA from 10 species